rnacentral:rRNA from 1 species
UACGUAGGGUGCGAGCGUUUAAUCGGAAUUACUGGGCGUAAAGCGUGCGCAGGCGGUUUGUUAAGACAGAUGUGAAAUCCCCGGGCUUAACCUGGGAACUGCAUUUGUGACUGGCAAGCUAGAGUAUGGCAGAGGGGGGGUAGAAUUCCACGUGUAGCAGUGAAAUGCGUAGAGAUGUGGAGGAAUACCGAUGGCGAAGGCAGCCCCCCUGGGCCAAUACUGACGCUCAUGCCACGAAAGCGUGGGGGAGCAAACGAGG